rnacentral:rRNA from 1 species
GUCUACAGCCAUACCACCCUGAACACACCUGAUCUAGUCUGACCUGGAAGCUAAGCAGGGUGGGGCCCUGCUUGGGGGGGAGGGAUGGGGGAGGAGGAGAGGGGAAGGAAAUCCUGUAAUUU